CUCACUGAGGCGGUGGAGCUUGGAGCCGGCCGCGCUCAGAGCGCGGGGCUUUGGGGUGAAGCCAUGUGGGGCGGAGGUUACAGGGGAGGUGACAGCAAGGGUGACGCAAGAGGCGGUGGAACUUGGAAUAGGCCUUGCUAGAGGGUUGAGAUGUGGAGUGCUAAGGGGCGGGGCUUGGAAGGUGGAACCAAAGCUCUAGGUGGAGCCGGGGGCACGUGAGGGGAUAAUCCUCACUAGAUACCUGCUACCACCCCUCUCCCAGAACUGGAAGAGGCCCACCAGAAGUGCCCACCAUGGUGGUACAAGUGCGCCCACAAAGUGCUCAUAUGGAACUGCUGCGCCCCGUGGCUGAAGUUCAAGAACAUCAUCCACCUGAUCGUCAUGGACCCGUUCGUGGACCUGGGCAUCACCAUCUGCAUCGUGCUCAACACCCUCUUCAUGGCCAUGGAACAUUACCCCAUGACGGAGCACUUUGACAACGUGCUCACUGUGGGCAACCUGGUCUUCACAGGCAUCUUCACAGCAGAGAUGGUUCUGAAGCUGAUCGCCAUGGACCCCUACGAGUAU
rnacentral:sRNA from 1 species